GCAACUUUUAAUUAAAGUUAACCAAAGAGUUGUGCUGGAGGACCUAGAUAUUCCUAGAGAGAACUUAUUAAUCAAAUCCGUGAAUAAUCAAAUCCGCAGAUAUCAAAUCCGAAAAUAUAGAGGGAUGAUUGUACUAUUGAAUUUAAAGAUGGAGGAUGAGGCCAUAAAAGACAAAAUGAUUAUAACGAAACACCAGAGGAAGAUGAGUGGUUAUAUAAAGAAUAUGAGACUAUAGCAAUGAAUAAAUCAACACAAUUGUUAAAGAAUAACUGAAUAGAUGAAGUUAAUAGAGAAUGGAGGUUGGUAAUGGAUUUUCUUGAAAAGAUGUGGGGGGGAUAGCGGUGAUAGGGUUCCCAAUAUAAGUAAAAUAAGGUGAUAAGAUAGGGUUUAUUUCAUUACUUUUCCUUACUAUCUCUUUUUUUAAUGCCAGAAGAAGGGGGUAAGAAAACAGGAUAUAUAGGAUAUGGCUAUAGGGAAUAUAUGAGUACUGGUUAUAUUUGAUAAGAGAUAGGAUUAAUAAAGAAGUCAUAGAAGUCUGGUGUAUGAAGCAAUGGAGACAAAGGAGGAAGUCUAGGUGUGGAAGGAUGAGAAUAUGAAUUAAGGUACUGUACUGCAAGUGCUAGAAGGUAUGAGUAUGUGUGAAGAAUUAGAAGGAAGGUAGAAGAAGGUUGAUUAUGGAGAUAUCAGGAGGGGUAUGAAGAGAAAAGUGAGAGAGAGGAAGAGUUGAAGAGGGAGAGAAGUACGUGUGAGAAAGGAUAGAAUAGCAGUGAUGGUGAACCUUUUAGAGGCCGUGUGCCCAAAUUGCAACCCAAAACCCACUUAUUUAUUGCAAAGUGCCAUGUCCCUCUGGCUUUCUAGUAACAAACUCUUUGCUGCGAUGAUGGCACAUGUGCCCACAGAGAAGGCUCUGAGUGCCACCUCUGGCAUGCGUGCCAUAGGUUCGCCAUCACUGGAAUAGGGAGUAGUUGAAGGUGAAGAAUGAUGAGGUAUAGGAGAGGUAUAAGUGAGGUGGGACAACUAGACAAAGACAAGACUAAACAGAUUGAUAAUUGGUAAGGGAAGGAGAAACAGGACCGGGGUAAGGUGAUACUGUUUUAUAGCAGGUUUGAUGAAUGAUAAAUAUUGUUCCUUUGUUUUAUAAUGUUAUGAGUGAUGUGUAUUAUUCAUUUUAUCCAUAUUGGAAUUAUAAUAAAUAUUAUUUUUAAAAAGAUAUUUAAACGUUAACACUGAAGUAAGCAGACCAUCUGGGGGAGAGUAUCCCAGAUUUGGUGCCAUAACAAAAAAAAAAUUAUCCCCCCCCCAACUGAUCUUAUAACGGGGAGAUCAAGAGAUUGGUCUCGGGGAAUACUUAAUUUGAAAGGUUUGAAAGGUCAGCAGCUGGUUACACAUUGCAAACGCAGGUUGGCAUGAUGGAGUUUUCUCCAGCAUAUUGUGUUGAAGGCAAGGAUUUCAGCUGUUGAUUUUAUGUUGAAGUUAGGGUUGACCACACCUUCCCUACUUAACCUAAUAGGAAAAGAAGUACUACUUAAAAAAAUUAGCCUUCUGUCCUUACUAUCGGGUUGGGUGUUUUGUUUUGUUUUUGUUUUUUGUCCUGUUUUUUGAUAGCAGUAGAAAUGUUCUUUAAGAUGAAAACAAAUUCUAUUCUGCUGGCAGUUAAUAUACAACAAAUCAGAUGCCCCAGGGUACUACUCAUGUAAAUGUCUUUCAGCUUCAGAGACGUCCCAGAGCAACAUCUGCAGGUAAGAAGAAGUGUGAUAUGAGGAAGCAAGAAAAAAUCCCCUUCAGGGUCUAUGCUGCUAUGAUGCAAGGCACUUCCUGUGAUUCUGGAAUAAUGGGGACAUCAGAGCGAUGACAUCACCCAGGCCUGGAAGGACAAAGAGGGUGAGUUAGCCUACUAGGUUGAGUACUUGGUGGCUGUGGUCACCUUCCCACAUUGGCACAGUAUGUGUUAGCAUGAUGCACAGAGCUAAGAAAAAAUACACGGGCAACCCAUGGCUUUUCCUAUAAGCUUGGGGUCUAUGGUAGGAGAUAGCAUUUGUUGAGGUGUAAGCCCAAUUAUAGAUGGCCUGCUAUCAACUCCCAGAAUCCUCUGACACACAUGCUGAGACUUGAUGUUGCACUGUGUUGUUUCAAGUGAACGUGUAAUGACAGGAACAUGGAGCAGGGACAACGGCCUCCUAUUUACCUUGCCCUUUCUUUCUUAGAGCUGAUGCAGAUUAGGCUCAGAGGGGAAAGACAAAGCAACGAGCCAAAAUAAAUUCAAAGAGAAACAUCUUGACUUCUUGGAAUAGGAAGAGAGUAUCUUAGUUGUGCUUCUCUUUCCAGCUUAGAACAGACAUUUAAAACCAAGAACUAGAGCGUUCUUUCCCCUCCUGAAUGCUUAUUUCAGUGCCUGAGAGUAGGAUAGCAAAAUGAAAUGAAGUUAUUUUAUCGUUCUUUUGUUUCAAAUGCACACAUUGUUGUAGAUACAAUUGUGCAUCAUAGUGCGCUCUCACAAGAAAGAACUACUAUGACUAGGUUCAUGGCUGAGCCCUAGGAUUUAGAAAUUAAAAGGAUUGAAUUUUACCAGGCUCCUGAGUCCCUGGAUGCUGUUGAGCAGUUUGUUUUAUCUCAGGCCAAGUCUCUCAUUAGAAUAACUGAAACUUUCAUUGCAGUAUUAUGGUAGCAGCAAACAUAUAUAAGGCUAUGGAGCACUGAAAACCUGUGAAUCUGGUUCUGUUUUAUAAAGCACCCUCACCCUAUUGAAAAAUAUGUCUGGUGAGUAGAACUUUUUUUUAACAGGACAACAUUGAAAAAUGCAGUUUUACUCACCCAAAUUCUAAGAGAUGUGGCAAAAUCCUUAUUGUAGGCUUUUCCCAUUGUGAUCACCUUGUUCUUAAUUACAUGUGGAAAAUCUGUAGCAAAGGAAGCUCCCUUCCCGCUGUCCAUGGACUCUGGCAUCAGGAGUGAGUACAACUUGGCUCUUCUCUUCCCAGUAAUGGUCAAAUGCCACCUUCCCUUGGGUGGCUGGUUAUUUUGAAGAACAUAACAUCUUCCAGUUGGGUUGUGCAUUGAAUUCUUGGUGUUGUACAUUGAACUACUCUGCAAAGUAGUUCAUUGGUAGAUCUGUCUCUUCCUUAAAAUUUCCUUUCUUUGACAUGUAAAUUGCAUUUUGUUUAAUAAACAUUUUACC